ACUGAAAGGCUGCAAUUAGGUCACCCCAGAGCCUUCUCUUCUCCAGGCUGAACAGCCCCAGCUCUCUCAGCUUUUCUUCAAACUGAAGGAGAUUGAAGGAAAGGGCCAAACUAGAAAAAAAAAUGAACUACGUUAUAAGCUUUCUGUAACCCACGAAGACAAAAGAUUUCAAACAAAAGACUUCAUUUU